AAUAAUAAUAAUUUUAUUUUUAUACCCCGCCCCAUCUCCCCGGAGGGACUCAGGGCGGCUUACAUGGGGCCAAGCCCAGUCAUCAACAAUAUAAAAACAAAGCAAUAAAACAGAUCAAACAACAAUAAAAACAAGUCAUAAAAAAUCACAUACAAAAAUAUAAUGAUAAACUCUUGGAUUAGAUCCAGAGGAAACUGGGCCAAAAGUGCUAGUUAUGUCGAUAUCAUCAGGGAGGGGUGGUUAUCCAAAUUGUCAUAGCCAUCAAAGUGCUAGGGAAGGUGCACAUACGGGAUAGGCAACAGGUCGAUCCUACUAGAUUAGUUGCCAAAGGCCUGUUGGAAGAGCCAAGUUUUCAGGAUCUUCCAAAAGGAGAGGAGGGUAGGGGCCUGCCUGAUCUCCCUGGGGAGCGAGUUCCAGAGCCGGGGGGCCCACGACGGAGAAGGCCCUCUCCCUCGUCCCCACCAACUGCAAGCAAGAGGAGGGCCUCCCCCGACAAGCAAAGAGAUUGUGCAGGUUCAUAGGGGAAAAUGCGGUCAUGAAGGUAGGUGGGUCCCAAACCGUUUAGGGCUUUGUAGGUAAUGACCUGCACCUUGAAUUGGGCUCGGAAAAUAACUGUGCAAUACAGUUGAGUACCGUGAGCUAGGCAAAUCUAUAUAGUAAACCAGGAAACUUAAAACUUCAGCACCACCAAUAGUCAAGAAUAAUAUCUGAGUAUAUGAUCUUAAAGUGGGAGAUUGAAGCAGGUUAAAUCUCUUUCUUUGAAUGUCUUAAAGUACCAACAACCAAUUUCCUCUACAAUGUUUUGAGAAAUAAAAUACAUGUUAAAGGAGGUUAUUUAUUUAUUUAUUUAUUUCUAUAAUUUCUACCCCACCCUUCUCACCCACAGGGACUCAAGGCAGUAAUUAUGUAAGUAAUUAUAUGAAUUAUGUUCAUUAUGUUCAUUAAGUUACAAACUGAGCACCCCCGAGGUCUUAAUGAACAUAAUUCAUAUAAUUACUUCAUGUGAAUCUGUACUUGGUAUUUCUUACCACACUAUAAAUUCCAACCAAACUGGGAGAACCACCAGUGCCAUCUAGUGUUGAGUAACACAUAUAUGAAUAUACUCAGUAACCCCAUAUUGCUUUAAAUGAAUAAUGGCUACCUGAAAUCAUCCCACCUGAGGACAAAACUUCCCAUUAUAUUGUGAGGUUACCAAAUAACAGUUUAUACUCGCUAUAAGAAUCAACCAAGAGCCAGCAGAGUAUCAACACUGUGAGUAUAUAAAUAAGAUACUAUCUUAAUUGAAACUUAAAAAUCUUAAAUUAUGUUAUAGCCACUGUUUGUUCCUUUUAUUUAGACCCACUCUAGAAAAAAAGAGAAGAAGACAUAAAAACACAACUAGAAAGAGGAGCAUAAAGGGUAUACAUAUGAAUGUACUAUUAUUAAUUCACUUGAAGAAGACCUAGUCGAAACCGGUCGUGAUCUACUGUGACCUACUUGCUCUUCAGCACAAUGAACUGAUUGAAUAAGUGAACAAUUAUAUAUAGAACAUAUAUUGUUGAGGGAUCUACUGUGACCUACUUGCUCUUCAACACAAUGAACUGAUUGAAUAAGUGAACAAUUAUAUAUAGAACAUAUAUUGUUGAGCUACAGUCAUUUUUGAUGUAUGGAUUAUGUUUAUUACAAUUGUGAAUUCUGAA